rnacentral:rRNA from 1 species
UACGUAGGGUCCGAGCGUUAAUCGGAAUUACUGGGCGUAAAGCGUGCGCAGGCGGUUCGCAAAGACAGGUGUGAAAUCCCCGGGCUUAACCUGGGAACUGCGCUUGUAACUGGCAAGCUUGAGUGUGGCAGAGGGGGGUGGAAUUCCACGUGUAGCAGUGAAAUGCGUAGAGAUGUGGAGGAACACCGAUGGCGAAGGCAGCCCCCUGGGCUAACACUGACGCUCAUGCACGAAAGCGUGGGGAGCAAACAGG